rnacentral:rRNA from 1 species
UACGGGGGGGCAAGCGUUGUUCGGAAUUACUGGGCGUAAAGGCUCGUAGGCGGCCAACUAAGUCGGACGUGAAAUCCCUCAGCUUAACUGGGGAACUGCGUCCGAUACUGGAUGGCUUGGAUUUGGGAGAGGGAUGCGGAAUUCCAGGUGUAGCGGUGAAAUGCGUAGAUAUCUGGAGGAACACCGGUGGCGAAGGCGGCAUCCUGGACCAAUAUUGACGCUGAGGAGCGAAAGCCAGGGGAGCAAACGGG